CGUUAAUACCAUUAUUAUCUGAUAACGUCGUAUCUAACGAGUAAACAAGUUAUGGUUGUGCUAAAUAUUAAAAUAAUCAGACUAAUAGCAAUUUGCAACCCUAACAAUCACAUUAUCGCCAAAGCUUUUCGAUCUUCACAUUAUCUCUUUAUGAAAAUCUGCUCAAUGAUGCCGUCUGUCAUUGCAUUAUCUCAUCAUCGAGAGUCUUUGAAAACUAGAAACACCACCCGUCUCUGGCCAAAGCCGAGCAAUAGUAACUGAUGCAAGAGUAUACAAACAUGACAAGAGAGAAGAGAAAAAGAGCUCAUACCUGUUUUAUUUUCUUCUCUUCCUGAGUUUUUCUGCAACCACCUACAUAUUUUAUGAAGGGAUUAGGUCAUUUUUCGGGAUUUAGAUGAAGGAACUAAGUCAAUUUUAGGGAUUUUAGUGAUGAUUGUACAUUUUCAAGAUUGUAACUUGGAUUCAAGAGUUUUUUAAAAAUAAGAAUGGUGGAACGAAACAACGAUUGAAGGAUUAAGGAACAAUUGAGAGAGAAGAACAAAAUAAGGUGGUUGGGAAAAUUUGAUUUGCAACUCUUUGAUGA
rnacentral:lncRNA from 1 species